GUCUUCUUGAAUAUAUAAGAAGUCUGACCUGCCCGGUGAAUAAGUAUUUAACGGCCGCGGUAUUUUGACCGUGCAAAGGUAGCAUAAUCAUUAGUCUUUUAAUAGAGGGCUGGAAUGAAGGGUUUGACGAAAUGCUUACUGUCUCAUUUAAUUUGGAAUUUGAAUUUAACUUUUUAGUUAAAAGGCUAAAUUGUUGUUGGAAGACGAGAAGACCCUAUAGAGCUUUAUAGUUUAAAAUUUAAAAAAUUUUUGGUGAAUUACUAUUUUUUUAAAUGGAUAAUUAUUUUGUUGGGGUGACAAAAAUAUAUGAUAAACUUUUUUAUUUUAAUAACAUUGAUUUAUGAUUAUUAGAUCCAUUACUAUUGAUUGAUAGAGAAAGUUACCUUAGGGAUAACAGCGUAAUCUUCCUUCAGAGUUCAAAUUUACAGGAAGGCUUGCGACCUCGAUGUUGGAUUAAGAUAAUAAUUAGGUGUAGCCGCUUAAUUAAUAGGUCUGUUCGACCUUUAAAUUCUU
rnacentral:rRNA from 1 species